GACGAACGCUGGCGGCGUGCCUAAUACAUGCAAGUAGGACGCAGUUGCGAACGGGUGAGUAACGCGUAGGUAACUACCUAUUAGAGGGGGAUAACUAUUGGAACCGAUAGCUAAUACCGCAUACUAGUAGAUGGACCUGCGUUGUAUUAGCUAGUAGGUCGGGUAAUGGCCUACCUAGGCAAAGAUACAUAGCCGAGCUGGAGGGGUGGUCGAGCAAAAUUGGAAUUGGACCCGGCUCAGACUCCUACCGGAGGCAGCAGUAGGGGAACAUCGGACAUGGGGGGAAACCUGAACAAGCAAAGCCGCGUGAGGGAAGGAGGUUUUCGGAUCGUAAAGCUCUGUUGUUAAGGAAGCGGUACUUAACCAGAAAGGGACGGCUAACUACGUGCCAGCAGCCGCGGUAAUUC
rnacentral:rRNA from 1 species